rnacentral:rRNA from 1 species
UACGAAGGGGGCUAGCGUUGCUCGGAAUCACUGGGCGUAAAGCGUGCGCAGGCGGUUCGUUGUGUCGGGUGUGAAAUCCCCGGGCUCAACCUGGGAACUGCAUCCGAAACUGCCUUGCUAGAGUAUGGGAGAGGGAAGUGGAAUUUCCGGUGUAGCGGUGAAAUGCGUAGAUAUCGGAAGGAACAUCAGUGGCGAAGGCGACUUCCUGGACCAAUACUGACGCUCAGGUGCGAAAGCGUGGGGAGCAAACAGG